CCUACGGGAGGCAGCAGUGGGGAAUAUUGGGCAAUGGGCGCAAGCCUGACCCAGCAACGCCGCGUGAAGGAAGAAGGCUUUCGGGUUGUAAACUUCUUUUCUCAGGGACGAAGAACGUGACGGUACCUGAGGAAUAAGCCACGGCUAACUACGUGCCAGCAGCCGCGGUAAUACGUAGGUGGCAAGCGUUAUCCGGAUUUACUGGGUGUAAAGUGCGUGUCGGCGGGGAAGCAAGUCAGAUGUGAAAACCACGGGCUCACCCUGUGGCCUGAAUUUGAAACUGUUUUUCUUGAGUACUGGAGAGGCGGACGGAAUUCUUAGUGUGGCGGUGAA
rnacentral:rRNA from 1 species